rnacentral:rRNA from 1 species
GAUGAACGCUGGCGGCGUGCCUAAUACAUGCAAGUCGAGCGAAUGGAUUAAGAGCUUGCUCUUAUGAAGUUAGCGGCGGACGGGUGAGUAACACGUGGGUAACCUGCCCAUAAGACUGGGAUAACUCCGGGAAACCGGGGCUAAUACCGGAUAACAUUUUGAACCGCAGGGUCCGAAAUUGAAAGGCGGGUGCGGCUGUCACUUAUGGAUGGAGCCCGGUCGCAUUAGCUAGGUGGGGAGGUAACUGCUCACCCAGGCAACGAUGCGUAGCCGACCUGAGAGGGUGAUCGGCCACACUGGCACUGAGACACGGCCCAGACUCCUACGGGAGGCAGCAGUAGGGAAUCUUCCGCAAUGGACGAAAGUCUGACGGAGCAACGCCGCGUGAGUGAUGAGGGCUUUCGGGUCGUAAAACUCUGUUGUUAGGGAAGAACAAGUGCUAGUUGAAUAAGCUGGCACCUUGACGGUACCUAACCAGAAAGCCACGGCUAACUACGUGCCAGCCGCCGCGGUAA